rnacentral:lncRNA from 1 species
UUGGAGUAGGCAACCCCGAGAAAUCGAAAUCUGGAGAUUCAUAGUAAACUCCUUCCAAGAAGGGCACAAGAAGGUGUGGAUUGGUAACCAAAAGAGGAUGGUUACCUAAAGAAGGAACUGGAAACUUGUGUCUGUGAAGGAGAGCAAAGACAAGAGCUUUUAACCAAGUGGUUCCUGAUUUAGGAUUAGUGACGAGGAUAAUGUCGGAAUCUUUGGCUUCAAAGCGUUUUUGACAGAUCAAGAUUCCUUGUAAGAGAGCUUGUGUGUGCCAACGUCCUUGGAAUUGAUACAUUUCACUCACCAACCAACCUUUCUCUUUUGGAAGAGAAGAGAUCAUAUCUCUUGUUUCUUGUGUCAGCAGUUCAUCUCUCAGGUAAUCAGGAACUGAUGAUGAUGACGACAUUGUUAAGAGUUAUUGAUCAAUCUUGAGAAAAUGUUGUUUAAUUUAAAGUACGCGAUGUUUUGCUUAAGCUCUAUUGCAUAGGUUAAUGCUUGCGUGCUUUUAUACAUGUAUGAUAAGUUUGCUCUACAAGCAAAUAGGACAAUACUAUAAAUUUCCAAAGAUAGUAUUUUGAGUGGAGUGGUCAACAACACAUCAUUUACUUGAAGAGCACGUAGAAUAAAAUAUCCAAAGAGAACUAAUUAAAAAGAAAACGAAAGAAGAAGAAUCACGACUCUAAUAUAAUCUUGAAAACAACAUGACAUGACUUGCAAGUUGCAUGCAACUCGUGAUUUCAAAAUAUUGAUAUUUUUGUAUUCACAAUUUCAAAAUUUUCAAUCUUUAAAAACUGUUAAGGAAAACCAUAGGUAUUAAAUAUAACACUUUAUUUUGGAUUAAUUUGUUACUUUUUUGGAUAUAUCUAUAAACUUGUUUUGUAGAUGAUCGAGUUCAUUCAUAUGGACCCUAUUAGGAAUAUCCUUGUUUUAAAAAUUGCUAGGCGUUAGUCGGGCGGCCAAGGUGUGUCUAGCACGUAGCAAGAAAAUCGGUGAUUAAACAAGGAUUAAUCGGAGACUAGUUUUAGAGUUAUUUUAUUAAAUAAAUAAAAACAAUAAUUAUAUGGUGUUAAUUAUAUGUAUAGUUCGACUUCUAGUAAUAAAAAAACACAAAACUAUAAUAUUGGUUCCAAACUGUAGUAAAUAUAUCAAAAUCAUAAUUUUAAAGCCAAAUUUAUGUUUUCAUUAAAAUUUUGAAUAUAAAUUAUUGUAAAACAUCACAAAUUCUCAAUAUAAAUGUUUAAUAACCACAAAAAGUUAGACAGGAAUUAAUCAUUAAUCAAAGCGGAUAGGGUGGACAGAACGAUUACACAAGGAGUAAUCGGACGUAGGCGGGGAUUUUUUAAACCGGAGGAAUAUGUAUUGAGCUAUUUGAAAAAAAAAGCUUAGAAGAUAGAAUGUUGUUUUUUUCCUUCUUAAGUGUAUUAAGAAACCGGUUUAUAAGUUUUUACAUAUUUUAGUAAAAAUUACAUAAUUUGUUAUUGGUCUAAGAUAACUUGAAAAUUUAUCAUUAAAGGUAAAAAUGUAAAUUAAAUCUUUCUCCAAUAAAAUCUUUUAAAUAAUUAUUAGUUUCCACCAAAAAAAAAUCAAAUAUUGUGUAAACUUAUAAAAUAAUGGGCGUAGAUUCUAAGGCCUCCUUCAAGGAAGGUGAAGUUAGUGAUCGGAAGAAUCAUAUAGUAAACUAUGAACUAAGAAGGUUCCGGUUUGAGAAGUCAAUAAGUUGGUUAUUCAACCUUUUUCAAUCUUGAUUUCAAUGAGUUGGCCUUGCUGAUCACUUUCUUGAUAAACAAUGUGAUUAUAUCAACUUUUGCUUAUAAUAUCAUCGUCGUAAACUUAUAAUAACAUUUUAUUUUCCACAUAUAAAUUUAUGAAAAUAUAAAGUAACACUUUACAAGAUUGCCAUGUGCCCGUGUCAUAAACUCGAAUCUUAUUAUUCAAAAACACACACACAAUUCAUUUUAUUCAUACAAAAAACAACAAAAAAACAAAUUUGACACCAAACAACAAAAUACUCACAACACCAAAGAAGAACAAGUUCCAAAGAUUGGUUCAAGAAGAAAAUUUCAGACCAGAAUCUUGAAACUUGUCUUCAAUGGUUCUAUCAAUUUCUGCAGCCAAGGACUCACUCAACGUAUCUCUCCAUCCUCCAAUCUCUCCUUUUCUAAAGAAAGAUUUAGUCUCUAUUCCAUUUGGUAGUUUCCCUUCUCUGUUAACUUCCAAAUUACUUAAACUCUCAAAGCUACACAACUUCACAAUCUCCUCCACUUGUCCUUCUUCAAUAAAGCCACAUCCCAAGAACUCAGCGAUUCGCUUGAUCUCAACUCCCGUCUGCUUCUUAAGGUCCUCGUAUGUAACAAACAUGACCUUAUCCGGAUUCUCUCGGCUUGCGUACCAAUACUCCAAUAUAUGAUCCCAAAAGGGUCCACCUAUAAACUUCCCUUCACAAAACGCCUCAACCGCUUUUUCGAUAGGAUAAUCAGCGGUUUCCUUAGGAGCUAGCUUCUUGCCAAAGUGCCAUAAGGACACAAACAUGUCCUUAGGGUUCCUACAACAAUACACAAUCUUACAAGAAGAGCUCUUAACCGAUUCGGGGAGUGAAGGAUACGGUAUGUGCGUGUUCAUCAGUCUUGGAGUAGGCAACCCCAAGAAAUCGAAAUCUGGAGAUUCAUAGUAAACUCCUUCCAAGAAGGGCACAAGAAGGUGUGGAUUGGUAACCAAAAGAGGAUGGUUACCAGAAGAAGGAACUGGGAACUUGUGUCGGUUAAGGAGAGCAAAGACAAGAGCUUUUAACCAAGUGGUACCUGAUUUAGGAUUAGUGACGAGGAUAAUGUCGGAAUCUUUGGCUUCAAAGCGUUUUUGGCAGAGCAAGAGUCCUUGUAAGAUAGCUUGUGUGUACCAAUAUCCUUGGAAUUGACACACCUCACUCACUAACCAACCUUUCACUUUUGGAAGAGAAGAGAUCAGAUCUAUUGUUUCUUGUGUCAGGAGUUCAUCUCUCAAGUAAUCAACUGAUGUUGAUGACAUUGUUAAGAGAUCGAUUAAUCUUGAGAAAAAUGUUGGUGCAAGUAUCAAGUAUGAUAUGAUCUUAUUGCAACUAUGAGGGUAAAUGCUUGUGUGGUUUUAUAAUGCUUCAAAUUUCUCCAAAUAUAAUAUUUUGGGUGGAGUGGAUUGGAUUGAUCAACACUCAACAUAUCAUAUACUUGGAGAGCAAGUACAAUAAGAAAACAAAACAAAAUGAAAGAAGGAGAAUCACGACUCUAGCCUAUGAUAACAAAUAUAAAAAAUACAAAAAUCUAUUUUUAUAAUGUCUUACAUUUAUAUUAACUUGAAUAAAAAUGUACACAGUUUUUUUUUUUUUUUUUUUUUUGUUGACAGACCAGUUUGGACGGUUGGUCAAUCACAAUAAGUCAACAACCUUAUUUGUAUAGAUGAAGACUAAACCACCUAAAGACAUAAAUGGAGAAAUGAGUUCAACUAAAGCAGAUUCGUAGCAAAAGAAUCUAAACUUAGAAUUAGUUAGUUUUCUGCUCAGUGGUUUUAUCAAUUUCUAGGAGAGGGAAACUUUGUGAGAACUCUGGAGUUUGGCUAUCAGCGUAUAACGCUCAAUAGAGAUGUGAGUAUGUGACAAUAUCAUGAGGGGUUUGUGAGAGCAAAGGAUAAAUAUGGGAAGGUUUUCACGGUAUUUUAUCUCUCUAUAUAUGUACAACAGAGAACACUAGGGAUAUUUGAGCCAAGUGCUUCCACCUUUUGGGCAAACAAGCCAUGAUUAUAUCGAUAUCUCGUGGCUUGAAAUGUUUUUGGACGACAAGAACGGCUUGGAGAACUUUUGGACAGUACCAAAAACCUUUGUAGUUGUAGAGACCGUGGUAGCCCAUGAAAUCUUUGUCUCAAGAUAGAGAAGAGAUCAAGUUUUUUGGUUUGGUUUCACUUCGGAUAUUUAGGGACUAGUUUGAUCCAUCAUAAUAAGUCAACAACCUUAUUUGCAUUGAUGAAUAUUAAACCAACUAAAGUCUAAAUCAUACAUAAAUUGAGAAGAAAAAACAAGAAAGACUCAAUAAAUUGAGAAAUGACUUCAACUAAAGCAGAUUCUUAGCAAAAGAAUCUAAAAUCAGAACCAAUUAGCUUCUGCUCAGUGGUUUUAUCAAUUUCCUCUGCUAAUGAAGGAGUUAAAGUAUCAGUCCAUCCACCAAUCUCCCCUUUCCUAAAAAAUGCCUUAGUCUCCAUUCCAUUCACUAACUUGCCCUUCUCAUUAACCUUCAAUUUACUCAGAUUCUCAAGGCUACACAGCUUUAUGAUAUCUUCUAAAACUCCCUUCUCUAUCUCUUCCUCUGUCAAAGAGCAUCCCAAGAACUCAGCGAUCCGCAACACCCAAUCCUUAGGUUGUUCCCUCAUCUCUUCGUACAUAACAAACAUAACCUUUUCCGGGUUUUCUCGGCUCUCUUUCCAGUACUCUAAUGCAUGAUCCCAAAAGGGUCCAUAAACACUCGACCCUCUGCAAAACCCACUCACCAUUUCCUCCAUUGUGCAUCCAACCAUCUCUUCAAGAACCAAACUUUUCACGAAAUGCCAAAGCGAGACAAAUGCGUCCUUCGGGUUCCUGCAGCAAUACACAACUUUACAAGAAGAGUCCUUAACGGACUCAGGGAGUGACACCAGAGGGAUGUGUGUGGAGAAGAUACUCGGAGAAGCAUCUUGAUUGUGAAACUGGAAUCCUUCGAUAAAAGGCACGAGAGUAUGCGGGUUGUUAUCGAGAAGAGGAUGUGAUUCUUGAGGGUUUUGGAACUCAUGUCUGUGAAUCAGAGCAAAGACAAGAGCUUUCAACCAAGUUGU